GAGAGAGGUAAAUUACUAUUAGCGCUCAUUCGUAAACUGCUAACUUGCGAACCCCUGGUUGGAAUCCGGGGCUCUUCUCG
rnacentral:tRNA from 1 species